GCCGAAGUGGUGGAAUUGGUAGACACGCUACGUUGAGGGCGUAGUGGAGCGUUGCUCCGUAUGGGUUCGAGUCCCUUCUUCGGCACCA
rnacentral:tRNA from 1 species